rnacentral:rRNA from 1 species
UUAGUUAUGUUCUUUAAACCUAAAGAAUUUGGCGGUGUUUUAGUCUAUUCAGAGGAAUUUGUCCCGUAAUCGAUAACCCUCGUUUUAUCUUACUUGAUUUUGUUUUCAGUAUGUAUAUCGCCGUUAUAAGUUUAUUUUUUAAGGAUUUUAAUUUACUUGAAGUUUUAUUAUAUAAUAUUUCAGGUCAAGGUGCAGUUAAUGAUUAAGUGGAGAUGAAUUACAAUAUUAUUUAGAUAAAUGGAUUUUAUUUUUAAUUUUUUUAAUGAAAGUGGAUUUGAUAGUAAUUUUAAUUAUAAAGUUAAUUUGAUUUUAGCUCUAAAAUAAGUACACAUCGCCCGUCGCUCUA